AUGGACUUGGGAUAUUUUCAUUACUGUUAUCACUCUUGUUACUACCAGUUAUCAUCAUUAAAUGAUGUUGAUGUUGCUUGACCAUUGACCAUCUUGGAAUCCAUUUAUAAUGAGGUAAUGGAUAACCUGAAGCUAUACAGAUGAAAACAUGAGAGAGGGAGCGGAUAAUCAUGAUGACGAUGGAAGGUGGGAAAUGAAAGAAUUUGUUUUAAUUUACCUCCGACAAUUAAACGACCCGCUGAUGAGCUUGUUAAUAUUUCACCAGUUAAUCUACAGGUAACUCGACAUCGAUAUCGAUUAUUAUUCAAUGAAGAUGAAACCGAGCUAAUGUAAAGUCGAC